rnacentral:rRNA from 1 species
AGAGUUUGAUCAUGGCUCAGAUUGAACGCUGGCGGCAUGCCUUACACAUGCAAGUCGAACGGCAGCACGGGGGCAACCCUGGUGGCGAGUGGCGAACGGGUGAGUAAUACAUCGGAACGUGUCCUGUAGUGGGGGAUAGCCCGGCGAAAGCCGGAUUAAUACCGCAUACGAUCUACGGAAGAAAGCGGGGGACUGGCCUCGCGCUAUAGGGGCGGCCGAUGGCAGAUUAGCUAGUUGGUGGGGUAAAGGCCUACCAAGGCGACGAUCUGUAGCUGGUCUGAAAGGACGACCAGCCACACUGGGACUGAGACACGGCCCAGACUCCUACGGGAGGCAGCAGUGGGGAAUUUUGGACAAUGGGGGCAACCCUGAUCCAGCAAUGCCGCGUGUGUGAAGAAGGCCUUCGGGUUGUAAAGCACUUUUGUCCGGAAAGAAAACCUCUUGGUUAAUACCUGAGGGGGAUGACGGUACCGGAA